AAGUCGUAACAAGGUUUCCGUAGGUGAACCUGCGGAAGGAUCAUUACAUUCAGUAGCCCAGCUACUUGUUUACACCCUUGUUUUUUUGCGUACUUAUCGUUUCCUCGGCGGGCUUGCCUGCCGGUUGGACAACUUUAUAACCUUUUUAAAUCUUCAAUCAGCGUCUGAAUAAUAUACAAUAAUUACAACUUUCAACAACGGAUCUCUUGGUUCUG
rnacentral:misc_RNA from 1 species